UUUCCUGCAAAACAAGACCAGCCCUGCAGCUACUUACCCAGUGCGACGGAUCCAGCGAUGAAGGUCCCAGCUGUGACGUCAGACAUCCGCCCUCCAAACGCCUGCACACGCCUGCGUUUGCCUGACCACACCCGGGAAACGAAUCAGCUGCCGGAACUGACUUGUACUACGCUGACUAUCAGCCAGCAUUGGGUGGAGUAUAUACUGUCUGUAACAGCUGCAUAAUGCACUUUCAAAGGUUGUUUGAGGUGGUGAUCUCACUUGCAAAAAGCCUGCAAGACACAGUCAGCCUAGGAGAGGACAAAGGACCCAAGUGAUCUCAGGGCGAUUCGCCAUUGGACACUGUUGGCCAAAGUGGACACUGAUGCAUGAGAGAAGGCAACUGGGAGAGCAAGAGGAAGAAAAACAGAAUGAAACAAGCAAACAACAGACUUUUUCAGCUGGCGGCGUGCCAUCACUUAGCUCUCUACUCUGGCUUUUCUCGCUUGUUUGCCUGAAUAUUCUCUCCUUGGGGACACUAAUAUGAAGAAGGGGUGUUUUGUUUCUAAAGUAGCAUUUAUGAUCUGUAUCCCCUCUCAUUCCUUUCUACAUACUCUUCAUUGCUCUAUUCGUUCCCCCGAAAAGAAAAAAAAAGCAGAAGGACGGACUGUACCUUCUAAAGUAACACACAAGUAGAACCAAUCUGGAAUUAUUCAUUUAGAAGUCAGUUACUACAACUUAACCCCCUCAGUUCUCAGACAGACUGGUUUAACAUUGUACUUUUAUAUUGCGGAACUUGUUAUGUUAUUGCUGGUCUAGGCAAACUUUGGCUCUAUAGGUGUUGUAUAAUUAUUAGUUCCACCAAGCUCUGUUUGCCUUAAGUUGGCAGGGUGUGCAGGUACUUGUAGUGCCACAACAACUUGAAAUACCUGUGUCGGCCUUGCAUUAUUAUUCUCAUAAUAAUAAUGCAAGGCCAUUAAUAAUUCAAGGCUUAAACAAAGCAGACUAACUAGAGAGUCCACUUUAUUGCACAAAAGUGAUAUAAAACCAAAAAUUAUAUAUAGAUUAUUCGUCUUUUUUGGGGAUGUAAUAGAGGUCACAUGCUCUGUCUGUGAUAUAAUUGGUACCUAAUGUGUUACAUACUAAUCCCUCUGGUGUGCUACUCUGGAACAGAACAGGCCUUCCCUCCUCCAUUUAAAGGUAGUAUGUGCUGUUCUAGAAGACAUAGAACUCCCAGUGAUUACUAAUGAAUUUCACCUCCAAUGACAUGUAUCCAUUACAACUCUCUGUGGAUACCAAAGAAAAUAAAGAGUUAUC